CCAACAGGGAUUGCCUCAGUAACGGCGAGUGAAGCGGCAACAGCUCAAAUUUGAAAUCUGGCUCACGCCCGAGUUGUAAUUUGUAGAGGAUGUUUCGGGUGAAGCCGCGGUCCAAGUCCCUUGGAACAGGACGUCAUAGAGGGUGAGAACCCCGUACCUGGCCGCCGGUGCCCCCCGCUGUGAAACUCCUUCGACGAGUCGAGUUGUUUGGGAAUGCAGCUCUAAAUUGGUGGUAAAUUCCAUCUAAAGCUAAAUACCGGCCAGAGACCGAUAGCGCACAAGUAGAGUGAUCGAAAGAUGAAAAGCACUUUGAAAAGAGAGUUAAAAAGUACGUGAAAUUGUUGAAAGGGAAGCGCUUGCGGCCAGACUUGCCCGCGGUUGCUCAGCCCGCCUUUUGGCGGGUGUACUCUUCCGCGGUCAGGCCAGCAUCGGUUUGGGCGGUCGGAUAAAGGCGUUGGGAACGUGGCCUCCCCUCGGGGAGGUGUUAUAGCCCGGCGCGCAAUGCGGCCAGCCCGGACCGAGGUUCGCGCUUUGCUAGGAUGCUGGCGUAAUGGCCGUAAGCGGCCC
rnacentral:rRNA from 1 species